UACGAAGGGGGCUAGCGUUGCUCGGAAUCACUGGGCGUAAAGGGCGUGCAGGCGGUUUGUUAAGUGCAGGGUGAAAGCUCCCGGCUCAACUGGGAGAGGUCCUUGCAUACUGGCGAACUCGAGGGAGGCAGAGGAAAGUGGAAUUCCCGGUGUAGUGGUGAUAUGCGUAGAUAUCGGGAGGAACACCUGUGGCGAAGGCGGCUUUCUGGGCCUUACCUGACGCUGAGACGCGAAAGCGUGGGGAGCGAACCGG
rnacentral:rRNA from 1 species